UCCAACCGUGAUGAAAUACCCGGCAUCAUCCGACGAGAUAUUUGGCAGGAGGUAUCUGGACCCGGGACGAAGAAGACCAAAUAUGGUUUUGGGAAGUUAGCCCCCAACGUGAGACAUGAAAACCUUAUCCAUAUUCCUACACCUGAAGAAAGGUCUCGUCUUGUAACACUGCCCCCUGCGGCGCAAGCAGAAAUUCAAAGAUUGACUCAGGAGUUGCAGGCACAAAGAGAGGAGCUAAAUAGGCGGGCCCAACAAGAUGAAGAGAGGCAUCAAAUGAUGCAGCAAAUGAUGGAGGAGCAAAGAAGAGAAAUGAGCGCGUUAAAGGAAAUGUUAGCUUCUUCGUCCAGGAAUGCUCCAAUUGACGAAACUAAUCCUCACGAGGACUCAACUAAUUCUAAUAAUGGGGACACAGACACACAUUAGAUAACAAAGCAACUCUGUACAGUUUAGGGACUGAUUUUGCGUAACUCGGAUGGCGAAACAGUCUGAAGUGCAUGAAAAAGAGAAGACUUUAUGUUGAUCUGCUUAUGGCUGAAGCGCUGGGGUUUUGUUGGCUCAAGCGCUGAAGACUUUCUAUUCAUUUUGAUGCUGCUAAUGUGGUAAACUGUAUUUAUAGAAAAUCUAGCUUUGCUGCUAUUAAUUUAAUUGUCAAGGAUUGUAGGAAGUUAAUGACUAGGUUGACAAAUAUAUAUGUUUUGUUUGUUGGUAGAACACAAAUUAUGGUGCUCACAAUAUGGCCUCUUUGACUAGUAUUAUAGGUAAUAGAAUUUGGGUAAUAGUAUUAUGGGUACAAUUUGGCCUCUUUCUGUUUCUGUAGUUGUUUGCUGUUCCGUGUAACAUUAAUGGCUGUGUUUCAGCUUGUUCUUAAUGAAUUAUGUUUAACCUCAAAAAAAUGUUGUGUAUCA